CCUCUCUCUCGCCGUAUCUCUGGCUGUACACGAGAGAAGAAUCCCUAAAAAUCUUCUUGAAUCAUCAUCACAUCACCAUCAUCUCCUCCGCUAUUGCCCAAACACCACAACCACCACGCUACACAAAGAGAGAUGGGAGAUGCACAAACGAUUUUCCUCCUCGGGCACCAAAAGUCUCACUUCUCCAUGUUUUACGCUGGUUGGGAGAACAAUCAGCUCAAAUCAAGCAAAUAAAUUCAAUCUCGAGGCUUCACUCUCGCUCAAUUCCAGCUUGAUUGCAUACUCCUCUGCCAGCACUCUCUCCACUGCUUUCUCCGGCCCAGAAGGAAAGUGAGACCUCGUCUCAGUCUAGUCCGCUCGCCAAACACAACACGUCAAUUUAUUUAAUCAUACCAAAUCACACACGGAGCAAGUGAAUGUGUCGUUUGACUCGUUAAUUGGUUGGUCGUUAAUUAAGAACUUUCCCCAAAUUGGAGGCAGAUUUAUUGCAAAUAUUAAUCUAAUCAGUUGUAAUUUAAUAAAUCAAUACGAAUUACUAAUUAAUUGGAAGCUAAGAAAAGUUGGGAUAAGACUUCAAAGGGGCAAACUGGAAUUACUGGCGAUGUUGAACAACAUCGGAUCCGGUGGAGGGGUUCAAUAUACAGGUCAUGGGAACACUGGUCUUUGCAACAUGAACGAUUCCCGACAACUGUCCAUUUCAACAUCUCUUGCUUCCGGACAGGGACUUCAGCUUGGGAAUACUGGGGGACUAGGGACCGGGACUUCGACACCCGUUUCGUCCGACAGCGACAAGCCGCAGAAACAAAAACGCCAUCGCACUCGCUUUACCCCUGCACAGCUAAACGAGUUGGAACGAUGCUUUUCCAAGACUCAUUAUCCAGAUAUCUUCAUGAGAGAGGAGAUAGCGAUGCGAAUUGGACUCACGGAAUCCAGAGUUCAGGUAUGGUUUCAAAAUCGUCGCGCCAAGUGGAAGAAACGCAAGAAGACGACGAACGUCUUCAGGACGCCGGGGGCCCUUCUCCCAUCGCACGGUCUCCCACCUUUCGGCUCCGUGUCCGAUGGACUCUGCUCUCCGGCCGGGAUGUUCGGUGGUGGUGAUGCCCGGUGGAGCGUGGCUUCCAUGAAUGCAGCUGCCGUUGGUCUGGCAGGACAGUUGAGUCAAGCAGGUGUGUCAAUGGGUGGAUUCGGGCAACUGCAACAUCAAUCAUCGGGAUUGAAUUCUGGACUCCCCAUCUCCCAUCACUCGGUGCAGACGUCGGGAGGACCCUCAAUGUAUGCUUCAUCUCACUACGGUCUGAACUCAUUAGAUGGAUCUAAUUUCCCAAUGAACCUUCAUAGUCACCACCACGGUAGCCACACGUCCUUUUAGAUGCUGCUCUAUUAUCUAAGUAUGUACAUACUCAUACUACUGUCUUAUGACGCAACAAACAAUAUACACAUCCAGUAUUAUACGGAAGCCAUGAUCAUCUGAGUUCACCCCGAGAUUCCAAUCAUUGCUAGAUUUACCAAUUAAUAUAAUUUAUUUACCUUAUGUACAAUUAAGCUAUAAAUAUUUUAUAAUUGUAAAACAAAUAAGUGGUGUAAAUUUUGGUGUACAUAAAUUCGUUGUUACGUAUAUUAAGGCUCGAUAAAGAAACCAUUCAUGCAAUUAAUUGCAAACAGGCCCAGCUUGAAAAUAUUGAAAAUUUGAUUGUUUAUAUGCAAAGCUCCAAAAACUCCCAAUUUAUCUUAUGUUGCGAGAUUUUGCAAGGUGGAUUAAAUCGUUGUCACAAAUUAUGCAGUAAGGAAAUAGUUUGAGUUGCGGAUUAGGGCGGACAAAGCCUCAAUGGACGUACCUUGUCGAGUCAAGAAGGAAUUCUAAAAUUAAUCAAAUUAUUUCCUAAUUAAUUGAAUAUCCUACUGACUACCUCCAACACAGCAACCGAUUAAAUUGCUACCUGCUUGCGAUACAAAUAUGCUCCGGUCAUAAUGCAGGCAAGAAUUUGUCAUGUUUAAUUACUUUCUUGCUGCCAGCUUAUGUAAUGUUUUAGUUCCAACUGUUUUCAUAGAAGAUGCUCCAAAUUAAAAUUUUAAAAGUUGUAACAUAUUUAAAGAAGCAAAAUAUCUUGUUAAUAUAAUUUUUGAGUAUUAAAUGUUGUUGUUACAUUGAGAUUGUGCGUAAAAAAGAAUCUGUAGAAUUUCUUAUACAAUUUUAACAUUGGGAGUAAUUUAAUCGUAUGUAACAAAUACAUGUAAGUCAUAAUUACUUAUUACUAUUAUGUACACUACCAUCCAGUAGAAUAUACAUAUAUACAAUCUGUAGCACGAUUGCUUGACUUUUAGUGCCUAGUUACCCUUAACGGUUGCGACAAAUGAUCGAGUUACAAAUAAAAUAAUUAAUUUUAAAAAUAGUUGUUUCUUCUCGAUGGUCGAAAAAAACAACUCUUUGACGUUUAAUAACUUUUGAAUGGGAAGACACAGAGACUUAAUUCUUAAAGAUGAAAUCAUCGUAAUUUUUAGCUUGAUUUUUUAAGCUAAAAAUCUCGAGGGUACUAUUUCGAAGUUUGAACUUGAAAUCUCCAGUGUGCAGCCCGAGUCAAGCUCGCUGUUAUCGGUCAAACCGACCAUUUUGCAGAAUUUUAUUGUACCAAAUGCAUUUUACUAAUGCACUUUACGCCUGUUUUUUGUCAAAUAUACAAUGUGUAUUAUGCACGUGCAUACAUAUUAUGCAUUGGUGAAAAUUUUAACUAAAUAUAGGUUUUUAGCCUGAAUCAGGGCUUAUGUACCCGUUAUGUCCGUCUGUCCGUCUUGCGAUAACUGUCGUAAAACUAAUCGUAGCAAUAUAAAUUAAAAUAGGAAAAAUUUUCCGAGUUUAUUAAGUUCGUGUUUUGUAAUGGUUUAUAUACCAAAAAUAAAUCACAAAAUUAUAUGCACAUCGUUCAUUACGAGUCCUGCUCUCAGAAUAAUGCCAUCUUACAAGGCUCUGCAAAAUUGUUGUCUUUUUAGCCUAAGUCAGUUCUUAUGGAACCAUCAAUCAUGUCCUUCCGGAACACGAUAGCCAAAAUGGCUGAACCGAUUGAGCUGAAAUUUUCAGAACGGGUGAGACCGUAGGGCUUGAUCCAUACAGAUUUUUCAAAAAUAUGUCACUCCACAAGUUUAAAUGCAUUUGGUACAUUACAAUUUCAUGGAAAAUGGUUGGUUUAACCGACAACCACCGAGUCUGACUCGGGCUCACUGGAGAUUUCAAGUUUAAUUUUCGAAAUAAUACCCUCGAGAUUUUUAGCUUAAAAAAUCAAGCUAAAAAUUACGAUGAUUUCAUCCUCAAGAAUUAAGUCUCUAUGUCUGCCGAUUCAAAAGUUAUUAAGGGUCAAAGUAGUUGGAGACUCAAACGCCCUUUUUGAACCAACGAUUUUAAAAUGAAUUUUUUAUUUGUAACUCGACCAUUUGUUGCAACCGUUAAGGGAGACUAACGUUACCUAGAUACUUAAAGUCAAGCAAUCGUGAAUCUGUAGAUUUAAUUUGUGUGGUUCUUGAUAACAGUUAUAUCACAAAUUAGAAAUAAAGUACAUCAGCGUUUAAAUCUGAA